GGCAGACGGGUGAGUAACAUGUAGGUAUCUUCCCUUUGGCCUGGAAUAACACGAGGAAACUUGUGCUAAUACCGGAUAAGUCUUUACGGAGAAAGCUUUAUGCACCAUUGGAUGAGCCUGCACUUGAUUAGUUUGUUGGUGGGGUAAUGGCCUACCAAGACUGUGAUCAAUAGCUGAUUUGAGAGGAUGAUCAGCCACAUUGGGACUGAGACACGGCCCAAACUCCUACGGGAGGCAGCAGUGGGGAAUCUUGCACAAUGGAGGAAACUCUGAUGCAGCGAUGCCGCGUGAGUGAAGAAGGCCUUUGGGUUGUAAAGCUCUUUCGUCGGGGAAGAAAAUGACUGUACCCGAAUAAGAAGGUCCGGCUAACUUCGUGCCAGCAGCCGCGGUAAUACGAAGGGACCUAGCGUAGUUCGGAAUUACUGGGCUUAAAGAGUUCGUAGGUGGUUGAAAAAGUUGGUGGUGAAAUCCCAGAGCUUAACUCUGGAACUGCCAUCAAAACUUUUCAGCUAGAGUAUGAUAGAGGAAAGCAGAAUUUCUAGUGUAGAGGUGAAAUUCGUAGAUAUUAGAAAGAAUACCAAUUGCGAAGGCAGCUUUCUGGAUCAUUACUGACACUGAGGAACGAAAGCAUGGGUAGCGAAGAGGAUUAGAUACCCUCGUAGUCCAUGCCGUAAACGAUGUGUGUUAGACGUUGGAAAUUUAUUUUCAGUGUCGCAGCGAAAGCGAUAAACACACCGCCUGGGGAGUACGACCGCAAGGUUAAAACUCAAAUGAAUUGACGGGGACCCGCACAAGUAGUGGAGCAUGUGGUUUAAUUCGAAGAUACGCGCAGAACCUUACCAACACUUGACAUGUUCGUCGCGACUUUAAGAGAUUAAAGUUUUCGGUUCGGCCGGACGAAACACAGGUGCUGCAUGGCUGUCGUCAGCUCGUGUCGUGAGAUGUUGGGUUAAGUCCCGCAACGAGCGCAACCCUCACUUUUAGUUGCCAUCAUUUAGUUGGGCACUCUGAAAGAACUGCCAGUGAUAAGCUGGAGGAAGGUGGGGAUGACGUCAAGUCCUCAUGGCCCUUACGUGUUGGGCUACACACGUGCUACAAUGGUAUCUACAACAGGAAGCAAAACGGCGAGGUUAAGCAAAUCCUUAAAAGAUACCUCAGUUCGGAUUGCACUCUGCAACUCGAGUGCAUGAAGCUGGAAUUACUAGUAAUCGUGGAUCAGCGUGCCACGGUGAAUGCGUUCCCGGGUCUUGUACACACCGCCCGUCACACCAUGGGAGUUGGUUCUACCUUAA
rnacentral:rRNA from 1 species